AAAUAAACAUCAACGUUUCAGUCCUCCUGGACUUUUCUCAAAGAGAAAGAGAAAAGUCCAGGACGACUUAAACGUUGAUGUUUAUUUGUGCUAAAU